rnacentral:rRNA from 1 species
UACGAAGGGGGCUAGCGUUGCUCGGAAUUACUGGGCGUAAAGCGCGCGUAGGCGGAUCGUUAAGUCGGGGGUGAAAGCCCAGGGCUCAACCCUGGAAUUGCCUUCGAUACUGGCGAUCUGGAGCACGGUAGAGGUGAGUGGAAUUCCGAGUGUAGAGGUGAAAUUCGUAGAUAUUCGGAGGAACACCAGUGGCGAAGGCGGCUCACUGGACCGGUACUGACGCUGAGGUGCGAAAGCGUGGGUAGCAAACAGG